rnacentral:rRNA from 1 species
CUCAGGAUGAACGCUAGCGACAGGCUUAACACAUGCAAGUCGAGGGGCAUCACGGGAGUAGCAAUACAACUGGUGGCGACCGGCGCACGGGUGAGUAACGCGUAUGCAACCUACCUAUCAGGAGGGGAAUAACCCGGCGAAAGUCGGACUAAUACCGCAUAAAACAGGGGCACCGCAUGGUGAUAUUUGUUAAAGAAAUUCGCUGAUAGAUGGGCAUGCGUUCCAUUAGGUAGUCGGUGAGGUAACGGCUCACCAAGCCGACGAUGGAUAGGGGAACUGAGAGGUUGGUCCCCCACACUGGUACCGAGACACGGACCAGACUCCUACGGGAGGCAGCAGUGAGGAAUAUUGGUCAAUGGGCGGGAGCCUGAACCAGCCAAGUCGCCGUGAAGGAAGAAGGAUCUAUGGUUCGUAAACUUCUUUUGCAGGGGAAUAAAGUGCAGGACGUGUCCUGUUUUGUAUGUACCCUGAGAAUAAGGAUCGGCUAACUCCGUGCCAGCCGCAGC